ensembl:lncRNA
ACAGACAGUGUUAGGUACACCACCUCGUACAACGACAUGGUCAGCUCCUACAGACAGUGUUGGGUACACCACCUCGUACACCGACAUGGUCAGCUCCUACAGACAGUGUUGGGUACACCACCUCGUACACCGACAUGGUCAGCUCCUACAGACAGUGUUAGGCACAACGACAUGGUCAGCUCCUACAGACAGUGUUAGGUACACCACCUCGUACACCGACAUGGUCAGCUCCUACAGACAGUGUUAGGUACACCACCUCGUACAACGACAUGGUCAGCUCCUACAGACAGUGUUGGGUACACCACCUCGUACACCGACAUGGUCAGCUCCUACAGACAGUGUUAGGUACAACGACAUGGUCAGCUCCUACAGACAGUGUUAGGUACACCACCUCGUACACCGACAUGGUCAGCUCCUACAGACAGUGUUAGGUACACCGACAUGGUCAGCUCCUACAGACAGUGUUAGGUACACCGACAUGGUCAGCUCCUACAGACAGUGUUAGGUACACCACCUCGUACACCAACAUGGUCAGCUCCUACAGACAGUGUUGGGUACAAUGACAUGGUCAGCUCCUACAGACAGUGUUAGGUACAACGACAUGGUCAGCUCCUACAGACAGUGUUAGGUACAACGACAUGGUCAGCUCCUACAGACAGUGAGCCACCUGUCCAGGGCUUGCUAUAUAAAACAGGCAGACAGGCAUCGAGGCA